UUGGAAAUCUCCUCCCUCUCCCUAGAGAGAGAGAGAGCUGUUUUCUUUUCUUUUUCUUUUCCCAUUAAACCUCUGCUCCUAAACUCCUCAUAUGUGUCUGUGUCCUAAAUUUUCUUGGUGCAAGAGGAUGAACCCCAGGUUCAGGGAAUGCAUGUGGAGGUUUGGUACAUGGCGAUAUUGCUUGUUGCUGAGGCUCAGUGUAAGAAUGAUCCUGUCACCAAGGAUUUGAAAUUUGGAAAAGCCUAUAAAGUUUUCAGAAAAUUCCAGAAAAAAAAUUCUGCACAGAAGCAUUUAACUAUAUUUAAACGUAUGAGAUACAGCUGAUGGAAACAUAAUAUUUGACUUGGAAACCAUUAUUGUAAAAACUAAUACAUUGUCUUUCUUUCCUGCUUCACAUAUUCAUCAAUUGCCUACAAUGCGAAAGACAUUAUCCUAAGUACUCACAUGAAAACAAAAACAAAAUGGAGUUGUAGAUGCUGGCAAGGCUGUGGAGAAAAAGGAAUGCUUGCCUACUGUUGGUGGAAAUGUAAAUUGAUUUAGCCUCUGUGGAAAGCAGUUUGGAGAUUUCUGAAAGAACUUAGUACUAUCAUUCAACCCAGAAAGCCCAUUAUUGGGUAUAUAUUGAAAAAAUCAUUCUACUAAAAAGACACAUGCAUUUGCAUGUUAAUCUCAACACUAUUCAUCAUAGCAAAGACAUGGAAUCAACAUAGGUGCCCAUCAACAGUGGACUGGAUAAAGAAAUUGGUACAUAUACACCAUGGAAUACUAUGUAGCCAUAAAAAAGAAUAAAAUCACAUGCUUUUCAGCAACAUGGAUGCAGCAAGAGACAAUCAUCCUAAGUGAAUCAAUGCAGGAACAGAAAACCCAAUACUGCAUGUUCUCACUUAUAAGUGGGAUCUAAACAUGGGGUACUCAUGGCCAUAAAGCUGUAGACAAUAGACACUAGGGACAUCUAGAGGGGAGAGGGAGCGAUGGGGCCAAGUGUUGAAAAACUGUUAGGUACUAUGCUCACUACCUGAGUGAUGAGAUCUUUUGUACUCCAAACCUCAGCAUCACAUAAUAUACCCAUGUAACAAACCUGCACAUUUACUCACUGAAUCUAAAAUAAAAGUAUCGAAAUUUUUUUUUAAUGAGUUGUAUGGGGUCUUGCCCUCAAGUGGCCUUAGGGGUAAAAGGUGGUUAGCUAGAACAUGCAGUAGAAUAUAAAUUAGCAUAAAGAGCAUCUAAGACAAAGAAAGAGGUGAAGAUAAAACAUAAUGGGACAGCAUUGGAAAGAUAGUUAUUACAACUCUAUCUAUUCCAAAUAAAUUCCAAAUACUUAUUCUAAAAUACACAGAUUUUAGAUAACUGAGAGCAGUGGUGAUGGGGAAGGGAGAUUAUAAUACAAACACAGACACUAAAACUGGAUUACCUAGCUUCUAAUUUCAAAUAGCCCCAAAAUUUUCCAAAUGUAUGUAGUUUCUUAAAUUCCCUAUGCCUCAACUUCUAACUCAGUUAAAUGGAAAAAUAAUGUAAUUACCUGAAAUGGUUAUUCUGAUGAUUAAAUAAGUUAAUACAUGUAAAGCUCUUAAAAUGGUAAGUGGAGC
rnacentral:lncRNA from 10 species